rnacentral:rRNA from 1 species
AAAUUGAAGAGUUUGAUCAUGGCUCAGAUUGAACGCUGGCGGCAGGCCUAACACAUGCAAGUCGAACGGUAACAGGAAGCAGCUUGCUGCUUUGCUGACGAGUGGCGGACGGGUGAGUAAUGUCUGGGAAACUGCCUGAUGGAGGGGGAUAACUACUGGAAACGGUGGCUAAUACCGCAUAACGUCGCAAGACCAAAGAGGGGGACCUUCGGGCCUCUUGCCAUCAGAUGUGCCCAGAUGGGAUUAGCUUGUUGGUGAGGUAACGGCUCACCAAGGCGACGAUCCCUAGCUGGUCUGAGAGGAUGACCAGCCACACUGGAACUGAGACACGGUCCAGACUCCUACGGGAGGCAGCAGUGGGGAAUAUUGCACAAUGGGCGCAAGCCUGAUGCAGCCAUGCCGCGUGUAUGAAGAAGGCCUUCGGGUUGUAAAGUACUUUCAGCGGGGAGGAAGGUGUUGUGGUUAAUAACCGCAGCAAUUGACGUUACCCGCAGAAGAAGCACCGGCUAACUCCGUGCCAGCAGCCGCGGUAAUACGGAGGGUGCAAGCGUUAAUCGGAAUUACUGGGCGUAAAGCGCACGCAGGCGGUCUGUCAAGUCGGAUGUGAAAUCCCCGGGCUCAACCUGGGAACUGCAUUCGAAACUGGCAGGCUUGAGUCUUGUAGAGGGGGGUAGAAUUCCAGGUGUAGCGGUGAAAUGCGUAGAGAUCUGGAGGAAUACCGGUGGCGAAGGCGGCCCCCUGGACAAAGACUGACGCUCAGGUGCGAAAGCGUGGGGAGCAAACAGGAUUAGAUACCCUGGUAGUCCACGCCGUAAACGAUGUCUACUUGGAGGUUGUGCCCUUGAGGCGUGGCUUCCGGAGCUAACGCGUUAAGUAGACCGCCUGGGGAGUACGGCCGCAAGGUUAAAACUCAAAUGAAUUGACGGGGGCCCGCACAAGCGGUGGAGCAUGUGGUUUAAUUCGAUGCAACGCGAAGAACCUUACCUGGUCUUGACAUCCACAGAAGAAUCCAGAGAUGGAUUUGUGCCUUCGGGAACUGUGAGACAGGUGCUGCAUGGCUGUCGUCAGCUCGUGUUGUGAAAUGUUGGGUUAAGUCCCGCAACGAGCGCAACCCUUAUCCUUUGUUGCCAGCGGUUAGGCCGGGAACUCAAAGGAGACUGCCAGUGAUAAACUGGAGGAAGGUGGGGAGUGACGUCAAGUCAUCAUGGCCCUUACGACCAGGGCUACACACGUGCUACAAUGGCGCAUACAAAGAGAAGCGACCUCGCGAGAGCAAGCGGACCUCAUAAAGUGCGUCGUAGUCCGGAUUGGAGUCUGCAACUCGACUCCAUGAAGUCGGAAUCGCUAGUAAUCGUGGAUCAGAAUGCCACGGUGAAUACGUUCCCGGGCCUUGUACACACCGCCCGUCACACCAUGGGAGUGGGUUGCAAAAGAAGUAGGUAGCUUAACCUUCGGGAGGGCGCUUACCACUUUGUGAUUCAUGACUGGGGUGAAGUCGUAACAAGGUAACCGUAGGGGAACCUGCGGUUGGAUCACCUCCUUA